GGUUCCGUAGUGUAACGGUUAUCACGUCGCCCUGUCACGGCGAAGAUCGCGGGUUCGAUUCCCGUCGGAACCG
rnacentral:tRNA from 1 species